AUUGAACGCUGGCGGCAUGCCUUACACAUGCAAGUCGAACGGUAACAGGUCUUCGGAUGCUGACGAGUGGCGAACGGGUGAGUAAUACAUCGGAACGUGCCUAGUAGUGGGGGAUAACUACUCGAAAGAGUGGCUAAUACCGCAUGAGAUCUACGGAUGAAAGCAGGGGAUCGCAAGACCUUGUGCUACUAGAGCGGCCGAUGGCAGAUUAGGUAGUGGGUGGGAUAAAAGCUUACCAAGCCGACGAUCUGUAGCUGGUCUGAGAGGACGAUCAGCCACACUGGGACUGAGACACGGCCCAGACUCCUACGGGAGGCAGCAGUGAGGAAUUUUGGACAAUGGGCGCAAGCCUGAUCCAGCAAUGCCGCGUGCAGGAUGAAGGCCUUCGGGUUGUAAACUGCUUUUGUACGGAACGAAAAGCCCCGGGUUAAUACCCUGGGGUCAUGACGGUACCGUAAGAAUAAGCACCGGCUAACUACGUGCCAGCCGCCGCAGUAA
rnacentral:rRNA from 1 species